rnacentral:tRNA from 1 species
UCGUGCAGCAGCUUGGUCAUCAGGAUGGCGCCGGUGCCGCCGAGCGGGUGCCCGAGGGCGAUCGCGCCGCCGUUCGGGUUGGUCCGCGCGGG